ACACAUGAUACCGUGGUGAUGCUAGAGUGAUCUAACUAGAGCGUUCUGAUUAAUUGAGUCUGCUCCAGUGCUUUCUAAGUAGAACAUGUCAGAGCCUGUGAAUAGGCAGCCUAGGUAGGUAUUUAAAUUUGCCUGCAUUUUACUUUAGGGACUUAAUUUGGGAUUUGCCUCUUAGGCCCUAUUAAAGUCAAAGGCAAAGUUCCCAAUGACUUUGGUGAUGCCAUAAUACCCACAGGGGUAAUUCCUCUUAGUUUUUUGCUCUUCUUUUUCAUCUAUUUUUGGAAUCUCUUGAAACGCCUGUGGACUUAAUUGAACAGUCUAGGAAGUUGUGUGAAAUGACUGAACUCUCUAGAGCUGAACCAUAUUUUUUCAGGUGUGGGAAUUCGCAGCCUUUUAAAAACUGCAACAUAAAAGCUGCUCAGACACUUCAGUGAUGGCUGCUUUCGGAAUACCUUCUGUGGGUAGGUAGGCUUAACCACUUUGCUCCACUGUCCUUGGAAAGUCCUGGUCUGUCUGGUGUCCAGUACAUAUUCAGCUAGCUCUGUUGUGUGUUGCUUAAUAACUUAGCUUUACUAUUGCCUAUAACUGAGCACUUUCCUCUUCCUGUUUAAUGCCUGCUCUGCUCCUUUCCACUUUGAUGGGUAGGGAGGGGACAGCGGGCAGGAAAUGUGUUAAAUUGAAAGCAUUGUUACUAAAAGGGCUGUUGUUUGUUUAUUCCCUAAAUAAAUCCUUUCAUUUAUCAGCUGACAUUUCAGCCAAACGGGCUUUCCUCUGGGCCUGAUGUGAACUGAAGUAUUAACACAUUUGACUUAUUCCUCACUUGUGUUAAGUAAUACAAGGAGCCUGGCUCGAUCACCUGGACAUCCUGGGUUUUCAGUUGUCAUCCACCGGAAAAGGAAAACCUAGCAACUCAUCUCUGUGCUCAGUUUGUUACAUCCUCAACUUUCAUCUGCUCAGACUUAAAACUCUUCAGUGGACAAAUAUGUUAUUCCUAAGUACCUUGCUCUUUUGAAGAUGGUUGACUUAUCUUGGUUGCUGCCCUCUGACUUCUAGCUAGCUGCAUCACUUACAUCUCCAUAUUAAGGCCACAAAGGACUCUCAUGAUUAUCUAAGGCCAGAGGUUGGCAGCCUACAGCCCAUGGACCAGAUCCAGCCCACGGUGGCAUUUGACGGCCAAAAGAAGGGCAUUUUGUGUGGGAAACUUUGUCUAACAUCUCUCCUAGCUAUAUAUUGGGCCAACAAAGGAUAUUGUUUUAUCUCACCAACCUUGAUCCUUAUGUGUUUCCUGGACCAUCACCGCUACAGCAGCACUACAACACUGCUGCAUGUUGAUGAGCAGUCCAGUCCAUCCGAACAUUUACAGUCAGGUGGCUCUGAUGCUCCUCUCACUUCCAGCAUGUACAACUAGAAGUCAUUCAUCCGAAAUCAGUAUCACUGCAUCCUGGGCAGAAGGAAAUGACAGAAGCCUGCUCCCCAAGCUACUGAUCAAUGUCUUCUCCAGUAGAACAGGAAGCAACUGUGACUACCUGAAGCCUGCGAUCCUGCUCCUGCCUUUGUUUCAAGGUAAUUUGCACCCUCACAGAUCCUCACAGGAGGUGAGAGGCUCCAUACCAGCUAUGAACUGACUGCCCAGAGGAGUUUUCCAUCUACUGACUCCUCUGUGAAUCCUAUGAAAUAUGAACUUCCAUUUCUACCCAGGAGAACUUUUAACAAUCUUUUCUCUGAUGCCCGAUGAAGAGUGUUUGUGCCCGAAAGCUUGCAAUUAAAGAAUUUUUUUUGCAAAAAU